GGAGGAAAGUAGGGGAUCGCAAGACCUUGCGCUUUUUGAGCGGCCGAUGCCUGAUUAGCUAGUUGGUAAGGUAAUGGCUUACCAAGGCAACGAUCAGUAGCUGGUCUGAGAGGACGACCAGCCACACUGGGACUGAGACACGGCCCAGACUCCUACGGGAGGCAGCAGUGGGGAAUUUUGGGCAAUGGGCGAAAGCCUGAUCCAGCCAUGCCGCGUGAGUGAAGAAGGCCUUCGGGUUGUAAGGCUCUUUCGGUCGGGAAGAAAUAGUUGUGGCUAAUAUCCACAAUGAAUGACGGUACCGACAUAAGAAGCACCGGCUAACUACGUGCCAGCAGCCGCGGUAAUACGUAGGGUGCAAGCGUUAAUCGGAAUUAUUGGGCGUAAAGGGUGCGCAGGCGGUUGUAUAAGUCAGAUGUGAAAUCCCUGGGCUUAACCUAGGAAUUGCGUUUGAAACUACAAAGCUAG
rnacentral:rRNA from 1 species